UCAUUUAAACAAUUUUCUUAUCUUGAUUUAACCUUUUUUGUCAAAGUGAUCACGAUGUAACUAAGUAUAUAAGUCUCAAUCAAUUUUCUUAUAUAACUAGCUAAAAUAGCCCUAUACAAUAACUGUUAAUCUUUUUGGUAAAAGGAUGAAGCUUCUCGUACUUGUUCUAGUCGGCUUUAUUGUCUCGACCUCCGCCAAUGUUACCCGCGAUGAACGGGACUUAGGCUGUAUUCAGAUCAUGGGCAUCAAUACAUGCGCUAUUCGAGACGCCAACACUCAAAAAGAAGAAGAUCUUAACAUUGCCGAGAUUGUUGCCAACAUCGGGAAGGUCGUCCACGUUAUUGACGGAUUUGUAGGCGGAGCAGCUGCUAAAAGAGAGAACAUUGUGAAGAGACCAUGUAUUCAAAUUAUGAAUAUUAAUACCUGUCUGUAAGACUUUCUGAAAUGAAGGUCUCUGUAUUUUAAAAUAAAGCUUGGUUCUAUUAAAGUACUAAAAGAAUUAUUUCA